UUAUAAAUUAUUAUAUUUAAUAAAAUAUAUUUCAAAAAUUUUUAUUAAUGGAAAUAGAUAAUAACUUUUUAUAAUAAUAUUGUUUAAUUGUUUGUAAUUUACAUAUAAUUGUAAUUUUCCUUUUUUUUUGUACGAAAAAAAUUAAAUAUUUUGCUAAUAAUAUCGAUAAUUUAAUAUAUUUUUUUUAAAAAUUCUUGGGAUGUAUUUGUCGAAUAUUUCCAUUUAUAUUGGGUUUAAUCCGUAUAUUUCAUGGAAUUUGGAUUAUAUUUUUUUUAAUAAUAUUUCGUAAUCGUACGGGUUAUAUUCGGGUAAUUUUAUUUCGAAUUUUAAGUUAAAUAAUUGUUUAUAUAUCUGGUAUUCGGCCGAAAUAUUAUUAUUUAAUAUAAAAAAGAUUCGAUCGUUUUUCGUUUGUAAAUAAUCGCAAUUUUUCCAAUUUUAAUUCCAGUUAUAGUUCGUUUUUUUUAAUAACGUUAUAAUUUUCCGUUAAUUUUGUUUUUAUAUUUUAUGUUUGUAACGUAAAAUCCGUUUUUCGGGUUUUUUUUUCAAACAUAAACAGUUUUUUUCAAAACUUAACAGUUUUUUUUAUUAAAUUUGGCCGGUUAUUUAAUUUAUUUUAAAAUUGCCUUUUUUAAACCAGGAAAAUUUUAAUAUUACGUUUUUAUCUUGUAUUUCCGUAAUAUUUAAAAUAAUUUGUAUUUUUCGUUUAUAAUUUUCCAUUUAAAAAUAUACGAUUUUUAUUUU
rnacentral:sRNA from 1 species